CGGCGGACGGGUGAGUAACACGUGGGUAACCUACCUAUAAGACUGGGACAACUUCGGGAAACCGGAGCUAAUACCGGAUAAGAUAUCGAACCGCAUGGUUCGAUAGUGAAAGANGGUUUUGCUAUCACUUAUAGAUGGACCCGCGCCGUAUUAGCUAGUUGGUGAGGUAACGGCUCACCAAGGCAACGAUACGUAGCCGACCUGAGAGGGUGAUCGGCCACACUGGAACUGAGACACGGUCCAGACUCCUACGGGAGGCAGCAGAA
rnacentral:rRNA from 1 species